rnacentral:rRNA from 1 species
CCCUAGCUGGUCUGAGAGGAUGAUCAGCCACACUGGAACUGAGACACGGUCCAGACUCCUACGGGAGGCAGCAGUGGGGAAUAUUGCACAAUGGGCGCAAGCCUGAUGCAGCCAUGCCGCGUGUGUGAAGAAGGCCUUCGGGUUGUAAAGCACUUUCAGCAGUGAGGAAGGCGGGUACGUUAAUAGCGUGCUCGUUUGACGUUAGCUGCAGAAGAAGCACCGGCUAACUCCGUGCCAGCAGCCGCGGUAAUACGGAGGGUGCGAGCGUUAAUCGGAAUUACUGGGCGUAAAGCGCAUGCAGGUGGUUCGUUAAGUCAGAUGUGAAAGCCCGGGGCUCAACCUCGGAACUGCAUUUGAAACUGGCGGACUAGAGUACUGUAGAGGGGGGUAGAAUUUCAGGUGU